CGAAUUAGAGCUUGAAAAGUAUUUCAUUUACAUUGAAAAGAUUAUUAAUUUAUUUAAUUAAUUUGA
rnacentral:tRNA from 3 species